GUAUAGUAGUGCGUGUGCACAACAGUAAUUUCAUUCCAUUCGAGUGUGUGUGUAAAAAUCCUCUGCCAGCCGAAGCUAGCAAGAGGCCAAAGGUUCACAGGGUAGUAGUGGAUGAAAGCCACCAACGUGCACUUGCUCGCGAGAGCCAGCACCGAAGGUAACCAUUCGCAAUCAUUAAUGAUCCUUCCGCAGGUUCACCUACGGAAA
rnacentral:misc_RNA from 1 species